UCAGAGGCGAUGAAGGACGUGCUAAUCUGCGAAAAGCGUCGGUAAGGUGAUAUGAACCGUUAUAACCGGCGAUGUCCGAAUGGGGAAACCCAGUGCAAUUCGUUGCACUAUCGUUAACUGAAUACAUAGGUUAACGAGGCGAACCGGGGGAACUGAAACAUCUAAGUACCCCGAGGAAAAGAAAUCAACCGAGAUUCCCCCAGUAGCGGCGAGCGAACGGGGAGCAGCCCAGAGUCUGAAUCAGCUUGUGUGUUAGUGGAACGGUCUGGAAAGUCCGACGGUACAGGGUGAUAGUCCCGUACACCAAAAUGCACAGGUUGUGAACUCGAAGAGUAGGGCGGGACACGUGGUAUCCUGUCUGAAUAUGGGGGGACCAUCCUCCAAGGCUAAAUACUCCUGACUGACCGAUAGUGAACCAGUACCGUGAGGGAAAGGCGAAAAGAACCCCGGCGAGGGGAGUGAAAAAGAACCUGAAACCGUGUACGUACAAGCAGUGGGAGCACCUUCGGGUGUGACUGCGUACCUUUUGUAUAAUGGGUCAGCGACUUAUAUUCUGUAGCAAGGUUAACCGUAUAGGGGAGCCGCAGGGAAACCGAGUCUUAACUGGGCGUUAAGUUGCAGGGUAUAGACCCGAAACCCGGUGAUCUAGCCAUGGGCAGGUUGAAGGUUGGGUAACACUAACUGGAGGACCGAACCGACUAAUGUUGAAAAAUUAGCGGAUGACUUGUGGCUGGGGGUGAAAGGCCAAUCAAACCGGGAGAUAGCUGGUUCUCCCCGAAAGCUAUUUAGGUAGCGCCUCGUGAACUCAUCUUCGGGGGUAGAGCACUGUUUCGGCUAGGGGGUCAUCCCGACUUACCAACCCGAUGCAAACUACGAAUACCGAAGAAUGUUAUCACGGGAGACACACGGCGGGUGCUAACGUCCGUCGUGAAGAGGGAAACAACCCAGACCGCCAGCUAAGGUCCCAAAGUCAUGGUUAAGUGGGAAACGAUGUGGGAAGGCACAGACAGCCAGGAUGUUGGCUUAGAAGCAGCCAUCAUUUAAAGAAAGCGUAAUAGCUCACUGGUCGAGUCGGCCUGCGCGGAAGAUGUAACGGGGCUAAACCAUGCACCGAAGCUGCGGCAGCGACACUAUGUGUUGUUGGGUAGGGGAGCGUUCUGUAAGCCUGCGAAGGUGUGCUGUGAGGCAUGCUGGAGGUAUCAGAAGUGCGAAUGCUGACAUAAGUAACGAUAAAGCGGGUGAAAAGCCCGCUCGCCGGAAGACCAAGGGUUCCUGUCCAACGUUAAUCGGGGCAGGGUGAGUCGACCCCUAAGGCGAGGCCGAAAGGCGUAGUCGAUGGGAAACAGGUUAAUAUUCCUGUACUUGGUGUUACUGCGAAGGGGGGACGGAGAAGGCUAUGUUAGCCGGGCGACGGUUGUCCCGGUUUAAGCAUGUAGGCUGAUUGUCCAGGCAAAUCCGGAUAAUCAAGGCUGAGGUGUGAUGACGAGGCACUACGGUGCUGAAGUAACAAAUGCCCUGCUUCCAGGAAAAGCCUCUAAGCAUCAGGUAACAUUAAAUCGUACCCCAAACCGACACAGGUGGUCAGGUAGAGAAUACCAAGGCGCUUGAGAGAACUCGGGUGAAGGAACUAGGCAAAAUGGUGCCGUAACUUCGGGAGAAGGCACGCUGGUGUGUAGGUGAAGUCCCUGCGGAUGGAGCUGAGACCAGUCGAAGAUACCAGCUGGCUGCAACUGUUUAUUAAAAACACAGCACUGUGCAAACACGAAAGUGGACGUAUACGGUGUGACGCCUGCCCGGUGCCGGAAGGUUAAUUGAUGGGGUUAUCCGUAAGGAGAAGCUCUUGAUCGAAGCCCCGGUAAACGGCGGCCGUAACUAUAACGGUCCUAAGGUAGCGAAAUUCCUUGUCGGGUAAGUUCCGACCUGCACGAAUGGCGUAAUGAUGGCCAGGCUGUCUCCACCCGAGACUCAGUGAAAUUGAACUCGCUGUGAAGAUGCAGUGUACCCGCGGCAAGACGGAAAGACCCCGUGAACCUUUACUAUAGCUUGACACUGAACAUUGAGCCUUGAUGUGUAGGAUAGGUGGGAGGCUUUGAAGCGUGGACGCCAGUCUGCGUGGAGCCAACCUUGAAAUACCACCCUUUAAUGUUUGAUGUUCUAACGUUGGCCCCUGACCGGGGUUGCGGACAGUGUCUGGUGGGUAGUUUGACUGGGGCGGUCUCCUCCCAAAGCGUAACGGAGGAGCACGAAGGUUAGCUAAUCCUGGUCGGACAUCAGGAGGUUAGUGCAAUGGCAUAAGCUAGCUUGACUGCGAGCGUGACGGCGCGAGCAGGUGCGAAAGCAGGUCAUAGUGAUCCGGUGGUUCUGAAUGGAAGGGCCAUCGCUCAACGGAUAAAAGGUACUCCGGGGAUAACAGGCUGAUACCGCCCAAGAGUUCAUAUCGACGGCGGUGUUUGGCACCUCGAUGUCGGCUCAUCACAUCCUGGGGCUGAAGUAGGUCCCAAGGGUAUGGCUGUUCGCCAUUUAAAGUGGUACGCGAGCUGGGUUUAGAACGUCGUGAGACAGUUCGGUCCCUAUCUGCCGUGGGCGCUGGAGAAUUGAGGGGGGCUGCUCCUAGUACGAGAGGACCGGAGUGGACGCAUCACUGGUGUUCGGGUUGUCAUGCCAAUGGCACUGCCCGGUAGCUAAAUGCGGAAGAGAUAAGUGCUGAAAGCAUCUAAGCACGAAACUUGCCCCGAGAUGAGUUCUCCCUGAGACUUUAAGUCUCCUGAAGGAACGUUGAAGACGACGACGUUGAUAGGCCGGGUGUGUAAGCGCAGCGAUGCGUUGAGCUAACCGGUACUAAUGAACCGUGAGGCUUAACCUU
rnacentral:rRNA from 1 species